GGGAGGGACACAGGGCGGGGUGGGGAGACGGCCUGGUCUUUAACAGCCUCCCCGUGAGGGAAUCGUGGCAUGUCAGGGGCCCACGGCCCUUCCUGAUGGGCCUGAGGUUCUGGGCAAGCAUGUGGAGGGUGUGCCAGCCUCCAAGUCUCCCCCACGCUGGGAGAUCCUCUGUGGUUCUGGGGGUGAGGGGAGCAGGGAGGACCUGGAUCCCUGAAUUUGUAACAAGUUCCCCAGGCGAUUUUAAAAACACCAUUUGAGAAAGGCUGAUCCUGUUCGGUUCCUGAAUGAGGAAACUGAGUCCCUGAAGUAAGAGGUUUGCCCGCAGCCCCAGCGAGGAUUUAACAGCCAGCGCUGGGGGUCUGACAUGUGGCCGGCGUUGAUCCAGAUGUCUUACACCCAGAGAUCCCCACCUCACUGAGGCUGUCCCGGAGGCGCCGUCUCCUUUGGUCCUCUCAGUCCCCAGCACCUCCCACCUCCGGACACACUGUAUCUUACUUGUUUUAACCUUGAGAUAAACUCCAAAAGGGCAAAACUCCCGUGUGUGUCUGCCUAUCUCAGCGCCUACGACAGUGCCCCCGGACUUCAGCAGGCAUUCCUCAGGGGUGGGAGCAGCUGGGCCUGCUUGGGGCCACAGAGACUCAGCGGUCCCUGCGAACCUCGCCGUGUGCUGGGAACCCAGACACAACCUCGGGGGCUUCUUUGGAGCCCCCCCCAAGCCCAUGGCAGCCCCGAAGACGGGCACAGCCUCUACUCGGCACCCCGGACGCCCUGCACAUUGACCGGCAUGGGUCUCCCCAUCACUGCCCGCCCCCAGUCAGAGUGAAGACGCCACGGGGAACAGGUCUGCCCAGGAAGACAGGCUGACGGAAUAAAUACCAGCACGGCGAUGGUGCUGGCAGAGGACACAGACCCGGUGCAGCAAAGAAGUUCCUCCCCGACCCCAAGGUGUCCAGAGAGAGACCCCGGUGCAGCAGAGAAGUACUUCCCCCGCCCCAAAGUGUCCAGAGAGAGACCCCGGUGCAGCAGAGAAG